rnacentral:rRNA from 1 species
UACGUAGGGGGCAAGCGUUGUCCGGAUUUAUUGGGCGUAAAGAGCGUGUAGGCGGUUUGGUAGGUCCGUUGUGAAAACUCGAGGCUCAACCUCGAGACGCCGAUGGAAACCAUCAGACUAGAGUCCGGAAGAGGAGAGUGGAAUUCCUGGUGUAGCGGUGAAAUGCGCAGAUAUCAGGAAGAACACCCGUGGCUAAGGCGGCUCUCUAGUACGGUACUGACGCUGAGACGCGAAAGCGUGGGAGCGAACAGG